AGUGAACGCUGGCGGUAGGCCUAACACAUGCAAGUCGAACGGCAGCACAGUAAGAGCUUGCUCUUACGGGUAGCGAGUGGCGGACGGGUGAGGAAUUCAUCGGAAUCUACUUUUUCGUGGGGGAUAACGUAGGGAAACUUACGCUAAUACCGCAUACGACCUACGGGUGAAAGCAGGGGAUCUUCGGACCUUGCGCGAUUGAAUGAGCCGAUGUCGGAUUAGCUAGUUGGCGGGGUAAAGGCCCACCAAGGCGACGAUCCGUAGCUGGUCUGAGAGGAUGAUCAGCCACACUGGAACUGAGACACGGUCCAGACUCCUACGGGAGGCAGCAGUGGGGAAUAUUGGACAAUGGGCGCAAGCCUGAUCCAGCCAUACCGCGUGGGUGAAGAAGGCCUUCGGGUUGUAAAGCCCUUUUGUUGGGAAAGAAAAGCAGCAGGUUAAUACCCCGCUGUUCUGACGGUACCCAAAGAAUAAGCACCGGCUAACUUCGUG
rnacentral:rRNA from 1 species